GCCAUGAAUAGAAUAAUCUUCAUCUUAUUAAGUGAAACUUUACAGAUAUAAGGGAGAGAAUCUUCGUAUUUGAUAACUCUCCUCCCAAACAGAAAAAAAGGCAAAAACAAAUUUUAAUUUGUCUUCAAUUCUUUUUCUCCCUCAGCUGGCCAGAAUUUCCAUGGCCGACCAUCCACACAGUUUCUCCUCCAUCAUAAACCAAAGUUACAUUAUCCUCAUAGCAGAGGAUAAGA
rnacentral:misc_RNA from 1 species